GGGAAACUGACGCUAAUACCGCAUGACACCUGUGGGUCAAAGGCGCGAGUCGCCUGGGGAGGAGCCUGCGUACGAUUAGCUAGUUGGUGGGGUAAAGGCCUACCAAGGCGACGAUCGUUAGCUGGUCUGAGAGGAUGAUCAGCCACACUGGGACUGAGACACGGCCCAGACUCCUACGGGAGGCAGCAGUGGGGAAUAUUGGACAAUGGGCGAAAGCCUGAUCCAGCAAUGCCGCGUGUGUGAAGAAGGUCUUCGGAUUGUAAAGCACUUUCGGCGGGGACGAUGAUGACGGUACCCGCAGAAGAAGCCCCGGCUAACUUCGUGCCAGCAGCCGCGGUAAUACGAAGGGGGCUAGCGUUGCUCGGAAUGACUGGGCGUAAAGGGCGCGUAGGCGGUUCAUCAAGUUAGAUGUGAAAUUCCUGGGCUUAACCUGGGGGCUGCAUUUGAUACUGGUGGGCUUGAGUGUGGAAGAGGGUCGUGGAAUUCCCAGUGUAGAGGUGAAAUUCGUAGAUAUUGGGAAGAACACCGGUGGCGAAGGCGGCGACCUGGUCCAUAACUGACGCUGAGGCGCGAAAGCGUGGGGAGCAAACAGGAUUAGAUACCCUGGUA
rnacentral:rRNA from 1 species